GCACCGUGUACAGAAGGAAAAAAGCAAAGAACAGGAGUGCAGAGUUCCAGGCUGUGCAGCUGUGCCCACUGAGAAACUUGGAACUUGCUCUUCUCAGCUCUCUGCACCUCACAGGCCCUCCCUUCCCCCUUCAGACAUGCACCUCUGGACCAGAAUAGGAGAUGAGGUCUCCUAGUGAGGGCAGUGGAGCUACCUUCCAUAGAUGAGGAGGAUGUGAGUUAUGAAACAUAUCUGAGCUGUAUCCCAGAGAGUAGUAUGCCUCUGUGUGUGUGUAAGCCUGAGACUGCUAUCUUUAGAAAGGCCUGCUUGCAAGGUUGGCCUUUGGCUGGCACUUGGGAACUUGACUGGUAAACAGUUCUCUACACUGAUAUUACACUUUCCCUAAAUGGUAAGGACGGCUCACUGUGCCUGAAAUGCUUUUUACAAACAACGUGGUUGAUACUGAAUAUCGUCUGACAGUCUGGAAUCUUGACAUGUGCUCGGUAGACGGUGCUUAUGUGACCAGCCCCCAGUAACAACACAGGCUUCUCAAAUGAGCUUCCCUGAUAGACACGUGUGUGUUAUUACAGUUUGAUGCUGGGAAGGAAUUAAGUGCAUUCUGUAUGACUCCAGAGGGGAAGGACUCUAGGAAGCUUGUGCUUGGUCUCCUCAGGAUUUUGCCUCCUGUGCCUUUUCCCUUUGCUGAUUUUACUUUCUAUCCUUUCACUGUAAUAAAUCAUAGCCGUGAGUAUGAUUAUAUGCUGAGUCCUGGAGUCCUCCUAGCAAAUCAUUGAACCUGAGGAUGGCUUUGAGGAACCCCCAACGCAAUGAUCCCACCCAGGAUACCACAUUACAUUGAGUCGUCCUAUCUCUUUAGUCUCCUCUGGUCUUGCAGUUUCUCAGAACUUUCUUGGUUUUGAUGACAUUGACAGUUUUCAGUUUAGGAAAGAUUUGGACAGCAGAAACAGUGUGAGGAAUCCUCAGAAGAGAUGGUAGGGCAGCCUUAGGAAUAGAUGUGAUCACCCAGAGAGCAUCUGAAGAAAGAGAAGAAGGUAGGUCCAAGCAUGAGACCCUGGGGAAUACCAGCAUUUAAAAGGAGGCUGAGGGGCAUCCUAGGACUUCCCUGGUGGUCCAGUGGUUAAGACUUCACACUUGCAAUGCAGGUGGCCUGGGUUCAAUCUGUGGUCAGGGAACUAGGAUCCCACAUGCUGCAGGGCGUGGCCAAAAAAAAAAAAGGAGGUUGAAGAGGAAAAUGCCAUGGGAGAGACUGGGAAAGAACAGCCAAAGAAAUAGGAGGAGAAUCUGAAAAGCCAAAAGAGAAGACUCUGGAACUAGUCAUUGUCAGUGGUAAAGGCUGCAGAGUGGUCAAGGAGGACAGAGACUAAACAUGGCGGAAGGAGUUUCAGUGAUGUGGAGGGGUGGAAGUUAGAUUGCAGGGGAGUGAAGAGAGCAGAGGAAGCAGAGUGAGUGGCGACCACUCCUUACUAAGUUGGGCUACAAAAAGAGUGGAUUGUAAGGGACGUGCUCUGCUCUGUCUGGGUUGAGAGGCCCUUGACACAGGCUUUGGUGCUUUUGAAACAGUUGGCUGUUGGAGCACAGGUGCAGGGAGAGAGAGCCGGUCAGCAGUUACUCUCUCCCUCUGGUAACUGAGGAGAAGAGGGGAGACUACAUGGCCCCCACCAUUUGCAAUGGAAGGGGUGAUCUCACUCCACAGAGGCCUCCUGUUACACCCUCUUCCACUCAUACGGCCAGGGUUACCACCUAUGGGAGCAAGGCUGCUGAAACCCAGUCAAACUCUACCAGCCCAACCAAUCGCCCUGGUAGAGAGCUUUGUUCCAGAUUGCACAGAGUUACUAGAUGGGCUAGCAGUUUCCCUGCAUAUAGCCCUUCUCCAAGAAAAUUGGCCUUAGCUAAUCCUACUUGUCAUCCCCAAAAGGCAAAUAUGGGGAAGUCUUUUACUCUACAAAAGUAUGUACAAUAAAGGAGUACUCACUCAGAACCUUGCACCAGAAUCCAGUUGUACCUGGAAGGACGUUUUGUAUGCAGAGUAAUUGGCAUAACUUCAACAGUUAAGCACAUGAGCUCUGGAUUUGAGUACUGGCUCCACUACUUAAGUGAUCUUGGGUAAGUUACUUAACCUCUCUGUGCAAUAGGUUUUCUAUCUGUGGGACAAUAAUAAAAACCAUUAACAGCACUAUCGUUAUAAAGAGUACAUAAGAUAAUAUGUAUAAUGAGUUUUUAUCUGAGGGGUAAUAAUAGAACCUGCUAAUAGGGCUGUCAUUGUAAGGAUUAAAAGAGAUAAUAUGUAUAAAGUGCUUCAUAAUAUGUGCAAAUAUGACUGGCACAUAUUAGAUAUCAUACUCAUAUUCUAUUUAGCCCUCCUCAGUACUGAUUCAUUAUAAUGCUAUUUAUCUCUGAAAUAUUUUCCAUAAAAAUA